rnacentral:rRNA from 2 species
CUGAACCUUAUCAUUUAGAGGAAGGAGAAGUCGUA